GACGAACGCUGGCGGCGUGCCUAAUACAUGCAAGUUGAGCGCUGAAGGUUGGUACUUGUACCGACUGGAUGAGCAGCGAACGGGUGAGUAACGCGUGGGGAAUCUGCCUUUGAGCGGGGGACAACAUUUGGAAACGAAUGCUAAUACCGCAUAAAAACUUUAAACACAAGUUUUAAGUUUGAAAGAUGCAAUUGCAUCACUCAAAGAUGAUCCCGCGUUGUAUUAGCUAGUUGGUGAGGUAAAGGCUCACCAAGGCGAUGAUACAUAGCCGACCUGAGAGGGUGAGCGGCCACAUUGGGACGGAGACACGGCCCAAACUCCUACGGGAGGCAGCAGUAGGGAAUCUUCGGCAAUAGACGAAAGUCUGACCGAGCAACGCCGCGUGAGUGAAGAAGGUUGUCGGGUCGGAAAACUCUGUUGGUAGAGAAGAACGUUGGUGAGAGUGGAAAGCUCAUCAAGUGACGGUAACUACCCAGAAAGGGACGGCUAACUACGUG
rnacentral:rRNA from 1 species